rnacentral:rRNA from 1 species
UACGUAGGGUGCGAGCGUUGUCCGGAAUUACUGGGCGUAAAGCGUGCGUAGGCGGUUUGUUAAGUCUGUUGUGAAAGCCCUGGGCUCAACCUGGGAAUGGCAAUGGAAACUGGCGAGCUAGAGUCAGGUAGAGGGUGGCGGAAUUCCCGGUGUAGCGGUGAAAUGCGUAGAGAUCGGGAGGAACAUCUGUGGCGAAGGCGGCCACCUGGACCAUGACUGACGCUGAGGCACGAAAGCGUGGGGAGCAAACAGG